ACUGAUGGACCUGUCCAACUAUUAGAAAUGUUUUCUUUCCCAUAACUCAUUUCCUCGGGCACUGAUGCGUUCUGCACGGCCGAUCUCCUCGGGCUGAUGCUGUGGCCUUGGGCUGCAGGUGCUGAGGGAUGGCGGGGAGUCUCACAGCCUGUGGGCUGAGGGAUGAGCAGCUGCAGCCCUAAUUAGCAGCUUUUGGUGUCCUUGCCUCGAGACGGUGCCAGUACCUGAUCCAUCGCCUCCACCAUUUGCCCUGAAGCCACUUGUUUAGUGGUAGCAGAACUACCGUGCCCAACCGGGGUGCAGUGAUCUCAAGAGCAAGUAAAGGAAACCGCAGCUGCUGGGCUGAGGCUGCCAGAGGUUGUGUGCUGGACUGGACAUUGUGAAUCUCCAGGUUUCACAGAGGAGCUGCCCAGAAGGGAACUCACAGUGAGGAGAUUGCUCUGUGCUGUGGAGCUGUGGGGGUACCUGCAAGAGUUAAUGUUUCCUGAGAUGUCUCCAGCUUCAGUCCUGAAGAGCAGCUGAGGGGAGGCAGGGGAAGGCAAUGCAGCAAUUCAGACAGCUCUGUACUGUUUGAGCUGUCUGAAUUCAUUAGCUUCGGAGCCCCCCCUGGUGCUUCAUCCUGCAUAGCUCCUCCUGCACCCAACCUGGGAAACUCUCUCACCACUACUACAUGCGUUAGCCUUCAUUAAUACAAUUAGCAUAAUAUCAAUUAGGAUUCAUUAUUCCCUACAAAAAGAUAAAGCCAGUAAUGCGUAUCUCAGAAUCACAUUCCUUAGCGCCUUGUCUUGGGAUUGCUUUAUUUUGGAGUUGUUUGCCUCUUUAUAUCCUUCCAUCUCCGAG
rnacentral:lncRNA from 1 species